CUUUCCACUUCUUCAAUGCGACAACUAAACGUGGGAGGUCCCAAUCUUGCCAGCCUUCUUCCCCGCGAACUAGAUCAGCUUUGAUCCCUUUUGGUUUCUCAAGCACGUUCCGAGUAUUCCCGUUCACUCUUUCGAUUUUUCCCAAUGUUUGUAACGACUGUACGUUAUGCGAUAAAAUCUUGUAAAAUUCGUGGAUUUUCGCUGGACUCGAUCCGUUAAUCACUGGUAAGUUUAUAAUGUCCUGAAUGUAAGCAUUGAUGAUCUCACUCGUCUUGCCGUACUCACUCUCAAGGAUGUUCUUCGCUCGUUCAUAACCUUCGGUACUAAACGGCAGACCCGCGACUUCCGACCGCACGGUUGGUUCUACCGUUCUAGCAAUUCCCUCAGGUAUCCAAAUUUCGACACGGA